UGGGGAAUAUUGGACAAUGGGCGAAAGCCUGAUCCAGCCAUGCCGCGUGUGUGAAGAAGGUCUUCGGAUUGUAAAGCACUUUAAGUUGGGAGGAAGGGCAGUUACCUAAUACGUGAUUGUUUUGACGUUACCGACAGAAUAAGCACCGGCUAACUCUGUGCCAGCAGCCGCGGUAAUACAGAGGGCGCAAGCGUUAAUCGGAAUUACUGGGCGUAAAGCGCGCGUAGGUGGUUUGUUAAGUUGGAUGUGAAAUCCCCGUGCUCAACCUGGGAACUGCAUUCAAAACUGACUGUCUAGAGUAUGGUAGAGGGUGGUGGAAUUUCCUGUGUAGCGGUGAAAUGCGUAGAUAUAGGAAGGAACACCAGUGGCGAAGGCGACCACCUGGACUAAUACUGACACUGAGGUGCGAAAGCGUGGGGAGCAAACA
rnacentral:rRNA from 1 species